rnacentral:rRNA from 1 species
UACGUAGGGUGCAAGCGUUAAUCGGAAUUACUGGGCGUAAAGCGUGCGCAGGCGGUUUUGUAAGCCAGAUGUGAAAUCCCCGGGCUUAACCUGGGAACUGCAUUUGGGACUGCAAGGCUUGAGUGCGGCAGAGGAGACUGGAAUUCCGCGUGUAGCAGUGAAAUGCGUAGAUAUGCGGAGGAACACCGGUGGCGAAGGCGGCGACCUGGGUCGAUACUGACGCUGAGGCGCGAAAGCGUGGGGAGCAAACAGG